AUUGAACGCUGGCGGCAUGCCUUACACAUGCAAGUCGAACGGCAGCGCGGACUUCGGUCUGGCGGCGAGUGGCGAACGGGUGAGUAAUAUAUCGGAACGUACCCUGGAGUGGGGGAUAACGUAGCGAAAGUUACGCUAAUACCGCAUACGAUCCAAGGAUGAAGGCAGGGGACCGCAAGGCCUUGUGCUCCUGGAGCGGCCGAUAUCUGAUUAGCUAGUUGGUGGGGUAAAGGCCCACCAAGGCAUCGAUCAGUAGCUGGUCUGAGAGGACGACCAGCCACACUGGAACUGAGGCACGGUCCAGACUCCUACGGGAGGCAGCAGUGGGGAAUUUUGGACAAUGGGCGCAAGCCUGAUCCAGCAAUGCCGCGUGAGUGAAGAAGGCCUUCGGGUUGUAAAGCUCUUUUGUCAGGAAGAAACGGUGGAGGCUAAUAUCCUAUGCUAAUGACGGUACCUGAAGAAUAAGCACCGGCUAACUACGUGCCAGCAGCCGCGGUAACAC
rnacentral:rRNA from 1 species